UACGUAGGGUGCGAGCGUUGUCCGGAAUUAUUGGGCGUAAAGAGCUCGUAGGCGGUUUGUCGCGUCGACUGUGAAAACCUACAGCUUAACUGUGGGCUUGCAGUCGAUACGGGCAGACUUGAGUUCGGUAGGGGAGACUGGAAUUCCUGGUGUAGCGGUGAAAUGCGCAGAUAUCAGGAGGAACACCGGUGGCGAAGGCGGGUCUCUGGGCAACAACUGACGCUGAGGAGCGAAAGCGUGGGGAGCGAACAGG
rnacentral:rRNA from 1 species